rnacentral:rRNA from 2 species
GACGCAUCACUGGUGUUCGGGUUGUCAUGCCAAUGGCACUGCCCGGUAGCUAAAUGCGGAAGAGAUAAGUGCUGAAAGCAUCUAAGCACGAAACUUGCCCCGAGAUGAGUUCUCCCUGAGACUUUAAGUCUCCUGAAGGAACGUUAAAGACGAUGACGUUGAUAGGCCGGGUGUGUAAGCGCAGCGAUGCGUUGAGCUAACCGGUACUAAUGAACCGUGAGGCUUAACCUUACAACGCCGAAG